UUAGAGGGUUCUGUGGUGUAGCGGUUAUCACGUCUGCUUUACACGCAGAAGGCCGCGAGUUCGACCCUCGUUUUUUAAU